UCACCGUCCCAUAAACUUGGCGCCACCUGCCUCUGUUCAUCGAACGCCCACCUCACUUGGAGGCUUGGAUUUUUUGAUUUUACAAACAAAUUGGCUUCUGAUUCUCACAGUAUACAGGAAAACAAGCGCAAUCCAAUUCGUAUUUUCGAAGAAAUUCAUUUCAAUUCAAUCCCAAUCCCCGUUUUCUCCCUUUUUUCUUGUUCUUCGGUUUGGGAUUUUACAUUUAUAUAUGUUGGAAUCAGGAAAUGCUGAGAAUCAUCUCUCAGAUGUUGGUUGUAGUGGUGUUAAUGACGAUGGUGAUGAUGAAGACAAUGAGCGUCGUAAAAGUAUGGCGAAGGGCCAAAUCAUCGCGCCUGAUUUGGGUAAACAGAAGGGUUUUGGAAAGGCGAAACGAGUGAUGUUGUAUCCAUUUCGAAAGGCGAAGAAACAGAUUCUUCGGCGGAGGAUUAAGAGAGAUUCUUCUUCUUGUUCUUCGUCUUCUUCUGUUGAUUGUACUAGAAGAACAAGUUCUUCCGAUAAAAGGGUUUUUGAUGGAAGCGUUAAUCAGGGUUGUGGUUUCUGUUUCAUGAAACUUUCAAUUUCAGAUUCUAAGAAUGGGCCUCCGACUGAUCCUAAUCACCGGAAGUUCACUAAUGAAAUGUUGAAAGUUCUUAUUGAGAAGAAUGAUUUCUAUUCCAAGGAAUCCAAUCCUCACUUGGAUGUUCAUAUGGGCACUGGACGAAAACAUUAAAUUCAAUUGGGUUUUGCUUGUUGAGAAAGAUGAAGUAUUAUGCACUUGUGUCUCCUAUUUUAUAUGUACGAAAAAUCGAGACUUGUAUCAGACAACUUAGUCUGCUGUUCUUCUUCAUCGCCCCGUUUUAUCUCAUGGAAGUUAAGUUGAUGGUAUGCUACAAACUUCGCUAGUGAUGCUUAUUGUAACACUUCAAGUCUACUGCUAGCAGAUAUUGUCUUCUUUGAGUCGAAUGGUUGCAGUGGAACGGUAGCGGCUUGUUUUAGGUUAGCAGAUUUUGUCUUCUUGAGGGAAAGUCCGAAAGGAAAAGUCUAAAGAGUACAAUAUCGGCUAGUGGUGGAUUUGUGAUUCUUUUAAGGGGCUAAGCUGAUGGCAAAUACAUGCCCAUUUUUUUCCUCUCCUUUAUGGUUAGUUCACCUUAAGAAUGAAGGUGAAUACAAAUUCUAGUUAUAUUUUGGAUUGAGUUAGAAAAUGGCGGAACUUAGGAUUUUUUGUUGUAACUUUUCAUCAAAUUCUUGACUUAACCUGUCUCAAGUUUUUGAGAAGCUUUAUUGUAAGAUCUCA